rnacentral:rRNA from 1 species
AUUGAACGCUGGCGGCAUGCCUUACACAUGCAAGUCGAACGGUAACGCGGGGCAACCUGGCGACGAGUGGCGAACGGGUGAGUAACGCAUCGGAACGUGCCCAGUAGUGGGGGAUAGCCCGGCGAAAGCCGGACUAAUACCGCAUACGACCUACGGGUGAAAGGGGGGGAUCGCAAGACCUCUCGCUAUUGGAGCGGCCGAUGUCAGAUUAGGUAGUUGGUGGGGUAAAGGCCUACCAAGCCGACGAUCUGUAGCUGGUCUGAGAGGACGACCAGCCACACUGGGACUGCGACACGGCCCAGACUCCUACGGGGUGCAGCAGUGGGGAAUUGUGGACAAUGGGCGAAAGCCUGAUCCAGCCAGACCGCGUGCGGGAAGAAGGCCUUCGGGUUGUAAACCGCUUUUGUCAGGGAAGAAAUCUUCUGGGUUAAUACCUCGGGAGGAUGACGGUACCUGAAGAAUAAGCACCGGCUAACUACGUGCCAGCCGCCGCCGUAA